GCGACCCCAGGAUGGGCGAGGCCACCCGCCGAG
rnacentral:rRNA from 10 species